UACGGAGGGAGCUAGCGUUAUUCGGAAUUACUGGGCGUAAAGCGCACGUAGGCGGCUUUGUAAGUAAGAGGUGAAAGCCCAGAGCUCAACUCUGGAAUUGCCUUUUAGACUGCAUCGCUUGAAUCAUGGAGAGGUCAGUGGAAUUCCGAGUGUAGAGGUGAAAUUCGUAGAUAUUCGGAAGAACACCAGAGGCGAAGGCGGCUGACUGGACAUGUAUUGACGCUGAGGUC
rnacentral:rRNA from 1 species